rnacentral:lncRNA from 1 species
GAGUUCACUGAGGCCCCCACUCUGCCGUUUUGGAACUGAUCUCAUUUCAUUUUAAUUAUUUAGGUAGCAUAUUUUAAUAUAAACCAACUUUCACUUAAUAGUUAUUUUUUCUAAAAUUUCUUAACUAUUGUCUGUUUGGCUAAUUUUUCAGUUGAAUGUUAGAAUCAUUUUCUUAAGCUCCAAAAAGAAAUUCUGAUAGAACUUGGGAUGUUAUUUUGCCAACAGAUCACCUUCUUAGAACAUUCAGGUUUCCCAUUCUCUCCCACUUUUAUACUGUUCAGCAAACUUAAUGAAUGUUUUCAUGUAGAUUGCAUUGUAUUUUCCUUAGACAUUUCAAAUGUUCUGUUGUGACUGUGAACUGGGCUUAAAGUGCUGUUAUUUUAAAUAUGAAUCAAUACAUCAAUAUUUUCUGGGAUGAAAGAAAAACACUCAUCUAUCAAUGAGAAUCAGGAGAUUGAGAUCACGAGGUCAGGAGAUUGAGACCAUCCUGGAUAACACAGUGAAACCCCGUCUCUACUAAAAAUACAAAAAAUUAGCCAGGCGUGGUGGCGGGUGCCUGUGGUCCCAGCUACUGGGGAGGCUGAGGCAGGACAAUGACGUGAACCUGGGAGACGGAGCUUGCAGUGAGCUGAGAUUGUGCCAUUGCACUCCAGCCUGGGCGACAGAGCGAGACUCUGUCUCAAAAAAAAAAAAAAGUUAAUGGAAUCAGGAGGGUUCAUUCUGUAGGUAAGAGGUUUGCUUUUUUUUUUUCUUUGAAACAAUAAAAUAUCUUUGUUCAAUUUAAAUCUUGAGGCCACUCAUGGUGGCUCACACUUAUAAUCACAGCACUUUGGGAGGCUGAGGUGGGCGGAUCACUUGAGGUCAGGAGUUUGAGACUAGCC